UACAGAGGUGGCAAGCGUUGUUCGGAAUUACUGGGCGUAAAGGGCGCGUAGGCGGCCUUCUAAGUCAGACGUGAAAUCCCCAGGCUUAACUUGGGAACUGCGUCUGAUACUGGGAGGCUUGAAUGCGGGAGAGGGAUGUGGAAUUCCAGGUGUAGCGGUGAAAUGCGUAGAUAUCUGGAGGAACACCGGUGGCGAAGGCGGCGUUCUGGACUGCAACUGACACUGAGGAACGAAAGCCAGGGGAGCAAACGGG
rnacentral:rRNA from 1 species